rnacentral:lncRNA from 1 species
CUUCUUCGCCACCCAAAGACUCACGCAUACACACAUUUUUCUUUCGUAUCUGCUGUCUCAGCCUCCCUCGGGCCAAUUUGGGUAAAUGCGUCCAAGAGGAAGAAAUAAAAAUGAAAAGACUGACAGUUUAAAAGCAUGUGGAGGGCUUAGAAGAUAAAGACGAGUGCAAGAAAGGGAGAGCGCGGCCGGCCGCGGUGUCUCACGCCUGUCAUCCUAGCACUUUGGGAGGCCGAAGAGAUCGGAUCACUUGAGGUCCGGAGUUCAAAUCCAGCCUGGCCAACAUGGUGAAACCCCGUCUCUACUAAAAAUACAAAAAAAUUAGCCGGACCUGGUGGCGGGCGUCUGUAAUGCCAGCUACUCGGGAGGCUGAGGCGGGAGAAUCGCUUGAACCCGGGAGGCGGAGGUUGCAGUGAGCCGAGAUCGCGCCACUGCAUUCCAGCCUGGGCAACAGACUGAGACCCUGCCUCAAAAGAAAAAAAGAAAAAAAAAAAAGGAGAGCGCGUACUGUUGCGGAAGGGGCACUGCUCGAGAAACAGAGACGAAGGGAUGAUUUUCAAGUAAUCAAGACACCGAGAAAGACAAGAUUGGGGAUGGAAGAGCAACAGAGUAUCGAGCUGUCGCCCAGGCUGGAGUGCAAUGGCAUGAUCUUGGCUCACUGCAACCUCUGCCUCCCGCGUUCUAAGUGAUUCUCCUUCCUCAGCCUCCCGAAUAGCUGGGAUUAUAGGCACGCACCAUCAUGCAUGGCUAAUUUUGUAUUUUUAGUAGAGAUGGGGUUUCCCCAUGUUGGCCAGGCUGGUCUCGAACUCCUGAUCUCAGGUUAUCCACCCGCCUCAGCCUCUCCAAGUGCUGGGAUUACAAGUGUGAGCCACCGCACCCCGCCCUAAUCUCAGCCUUUUUAUAUCUUCUUGGUAGGCCCACUUUUUGGCAUCCCCUAACAAGAAGUCCUCAGAGAUUUUUACUACUCAACAUGUGUGCGUCCCACUCAGAUGUAUUGUGUUCUUUCUGUUCACCCUCUACUUCCCAUUCCAUUUCUUCCUCUGACUUAGGGUUAGAAUGGCCCAAUGAUCCUACAACUUUUUGAUGCUAUUUCAUUUGAUUCCUCUACUGUCUAAAUCACAAGUUGGCUAACUUUACUUACUGUAAGGGAUCAGAUAGCAAAUAGUUUAGGCCUUGUGGGCCAUUCAAUCUGUCAUAACUACCCACUCUGACCAUAUGUAGUGCAAAAGCAGCCCUUGACAAUAUAUAAAUGAAUGAACGUGAAUGUAUUUCAAUAAAGCUUUACUUGUGGACACUGAAAUUUGAAUUUUAUAUCAUUUUCACAAGCCACAAAAUAAUUAUUUUGAUUCCCCCCCACCCUCAAUCAUUUAAAAAUGCAAAAAUCAUUCUUAGUUUAUGUGUGGUGAUAGACAGGUGUUGGGCUUGAUUUGGACCCAGUGCCAUAGUUUCAGACCCCUGGUUUAACUGAACUGAAAGGUAAUCAGCUCUGCAAAGCCAUUAUUACUGAAG